UUAGAGUUUGAUCCUGGCUCAGGAUGAACGCUAGCGGCCGGCUUAACACAUGCAAGUCGAGGGGCAGCAUGUCCCGCAAUGGAUGAUGGCGACCGGCGGAAGGGUGCGUAACGCGUGAGCAACAUGCCCUAUACAGGGAGAUACACCAGGGAAACUUGGUCUAAUAUCCCAUAGCAUUCAUUGAAGGCAUCUUUAAUGAAUUAAAGCUUCGGUGGUAUAGGAUUGGCUCGCGUGACAUUAGCCAGAUGGUGAGGUAACGGCUCACCAUAGCAAUGAUGUCUAGGGGUUUUGAGAGGAAGGCCCCCCACACUGGGACUGAGACACGGCCCAGACUCCUACGGGAGGCAGCAGUGAGGAAUAUUGGACAAUGGAUGGAAAUCUGAUCCAGCCAUGCCGCGUGCAGGAAGACGGCCUUAUGGGUUGUAAACUGCUUUUAUACGGGAGCAAUAAGGGUUACGAGUAAUCCGAUGAGAGUACUGUAUGAAUAAGGAUCGGCUAACUCCGUGCCAGCAGCCGCGGUAAUACGGAGGAUCCGAGCGCUAUCCGGAAUUAUUGGGUUUAAAGGGUGCGUAGGCGGCCAUUUAAGUCAGCGGUGAAAUUUUGCAGCUUAACUGUAACAGUGCCGUUGAUACUGUUUGGCUAGGAUUUGGUUGUAGUGUGCGGAAUGUGUGGUGUAGCGGUGAAAUGCUUAGAUAUCACACAGAACACCGAUUGCGAAGGCAGCACACUAAGUCAUUAUUGACGCUGAGGCACGAAAGUGUGGGGAUCAAACAAGAUUAGAUACCCUGGUAGUCCACACUGUAAAC
rnacentral:rRNA from 1 species